UCAAAAUCCCACCCAAAUUACCACUGUUAGAUAUUAUUCCUUUUAUAUAUCAGCUCAGAUACCGAUUGUUGUAAAUAUAAAAAUCUGAUCACCACAACAAAAGGCUCGGUUACCAGUUACUGUGUGACAGAUAUAUGAGUUAAAGGUAUAAGAUAUAUAUAUAUAUAUAUAUAUAUAUAUAUAUAUAUAUAUAUACAUAUAUAUANNNNNNNNNNNNNNNNNACAAAAGGCUCGGUUACCGGUCACUGUGUGAUAGAUAUAUAAGUUUAAGAUAUAAGAUGUAAAUAUAUAUAAAGAAUAAUAAUUGCAGAAUAAGUAUAAAUAUGAAAGCUAUAAAUGACUGAAAGCUAUAAUAAUAUAAAUGACUGUAUUUAAAUGACGUAAAGCUAUAAAUAAUAUAAAUGACUGUAUUUAAAUGACAUAAAGCUAUAAAUAAUAUAAAUGACUAUAUUUAAAUGACAUAAAGCUAUAAUAAAGUAUAUAAGUAUAUAAAUAUAUAUCAAGUAGGUUCGUCAAUAAAUUGACUGAACUGGACUCAUGGAACGAAUGGUCGAAAUUUGUUUUUUGAAUGGAUUGGUCGAUAUUGGGACUCUUGGAGCGACUGGUUGAUAUUUGUUCAAAGAUCAAUCCGGCAUUGGAUAAGUAACAAAAAAGUUCAUUUAAAGCUCGGUUUUAUGUAAAACAAGUGUUUACAAAAGGGUACAAAAUACAUGGGUUUAUGUAUUUGUAUUUGAGGUAUUUUUGGGUAAAAACAUGCACACGGGUCAUGUAAGAUAAGGCACAAGUGACACGGGUCGUGUAGGAGGGUUUUGGAGGGUUUUUUUGAUGAAUGAUGCUGACACGGGGCGUGUUGAUUUAGCCUUGCUGAACACGGGGGGUGUUCAUGAUGUUGAUGCUGACACGUGGCGUGUUGGUUUAGCCUUACUGAACACGGGGCGUGUUCAUGAUGCUGAUGCUGACACGGGGCGUGUCAGAUUUAGCCUUGGAUUUAACACGGGGCGUGUUGAGGUAUAGAAGCAUGAAAAAGACAAUCAGAGGGCAACACGGGGCGUGUUGAUUUUUCCUUGGCUUUAACACGGGGCGUGUUCGUGUCUGAGUCAAUUUCGGGAUUUUUGUGAUUUGAAGGUAAGUUUUGUUUGUGAUGUUUUUGGCUAGGGUAAUGGAGUUAUGGUGUUUUGAGGAUGUUUUCAAGGUUGUUUAGAGGUUGGAAGGAGUUUAAAAUAAGGUGGUAAAGGUGGUGGAAUUUCUAUGAAGAUGAUGAUGAAUAGUGAUGGGUUUUGUGGUUGAUCUUGAUGCAGAAGGUUUUGGGUUGUUUCAUGGUUGUGUUUUGGUGUUUUGAUGUAAGGAAAGUGUUUGGUGGUGUAUGAUGUGAUGAACAAAGGUGGUGAAGAUGAAAAACGUUUAGUUUCAAUGAAGAAGAUGAAGAUGGUUGAUGGUGUUCUUCAUUUCAUUGUUGAUGAUCUUGGUGUUCUUCACUUAGCUUCUUGUUUGAUCUUGGUGUUCUGCAUUUAGCUCCAGGGAUGAAGAUUGAGAGGGUGUAGUUUUACAAAGGAAAACUCACUAUAUCAUAUCUAUCUCUCUUACUCUCUUCUAUUAUCUCCAACUCAAACACACACUACAUACAUAUGUAUAUAUAUGAGAAACAAAUAUCUUGUAGUACAUUUGAGUGUUUGGAGAGUUGGCUGCAAGUUGAUGUAGAGUAGGAGGCAAAAAAACGUGGGAAGUGUUUGCUACUUCAUCUUUGACUUGUGUUGACUUCUUCUUUGUUUGACUAUUCAACACAUAUACAACAUAUAUAUAAUACAUAUAUACAUAUAUAAUACAUACAUAUGUAUAUAAUACAUACAUANNNNNNNNNNNNNNNNNNNNNNNNNNNNNNNNNNNNNNNNNNNNNNNNNNUAAUACAUACAUAUGUAUAUAAUACACACACACACACAUAUAUAUAUAUAUAUAUAUAUAUAUAUAUAUAUGUAUUGUUGAAAUUGUUUAGUCACACAUAUGUGUUUUCGUCAUUCGCGUGUUUUCGUAUUUUCCGUUUUAUCACGCAUUCAUGCAACCUGAAAUAACUGAUAAUAUUUGUUAGAUUGUAUAAAAACAGUUCAUCUUAUUUCAGUGAUGGUCACAUACAAGGUUACAUAAGAACAUUUUUCAACAAUUUCCCCCUAUGUGAUCAUUGCUGAAAUAAGGACAGGUAUGAUAUAAUCAUAUUGACAGUUUAACUUUUGAAGAUUCGAGAUAAAAGAUUUGUCAAUAGAUAAGAUAUAUAUAAAACCAUAGCAAUUGAUUUGAAAGUUUGUGACUUGGUUUAACAUAUCUUAU
rnacentral:lncRNA from 1 species